rnacentral:rRNA from 1 species
GUGAGAGUUUGAUCCUGGCUCAGGAUGAACGCUGGCGGCGUGCUUAAUACAUGCAAGUCGAACGGACAACCAAGGGUGCUUGCACCUGAGGUUGUUAGUGGCGGACGGGUGAGUAACGCGUGAACAAUCUGCCUGUAUAAGGGGGAUAACACUUAGAAAUAGGUGCUAAUACCGCAUAAGACCACGGUGGGGCAUCCCACAGGGGUAAAAGGAGAAAUCCGAAUACAGAUGAGUUUGCGUAUCAUUAGCUAGUUGGUGGUGUAACGGACCACCAAGGCGACGAUGGUUAGCCGACCUGAGAGGGUGAUCGGCCACACUGGAACUGAGAAACGGUCCAGACUCCUACGGGAGGCAGCAGUAGGGAAUAUUGGGCAAUGGGCGAAAGCCUGACCCAGCAACGCCGCGUGAAGGAAGAAGGUCUUCGGAUUGUAAACUUCUGUUGUAAGGGAAAAAUAAAGUGAUGGUACCUUAUGAGGAAGCUACGGCAAACUAUGUGCCAGCAGCCGCGGUAAUACAUAGGUAGCGAGCGUUAUCCGGAAUAACUGGGCGUAAAGGGAGUGUAGGUGGCACCGUAAGUGAGAUGUGAAAGACCGUGGCUCAACCACGGAAUUGCAUUUCAUACUGCGGAGCUAGAGGAUGAUAGAGGUAAACGGAAUUUCUAGUGUAGCGGUAAAAUGCGUAGAGAUUAGGAAGAACACCAGAGGCGAAAGCGGUUUACUAGAUCAUAACUGACACUGAGGCUCGAAAGCGUGGGGAGCAAACAGGAUUAGAUACCCUGGUAGUCCACGCCCUAAACGAUGGAUACUAGAUUUGUGGGAAUCGACUUCUUGCGAAUCGAAGCAAACGCGAUAAGUAUCCCGCCUGAGUAGUACGGCCGCAAGGUUGAAACUCAAAGGAAUUGACGGGGACCCGCACAAGCAGCGGAGCAUGUCGUUUAAUUCGAAGAAACGCGCAGAACCUUACCAACGCUUGACAUUUAAUGCAUAGCAUAGAGAUAUGUGAAGAUUUAUAGCAAUAUAAUUCAUUAAAACAGAUGGUGCAUGGUUGUCGUCAGCUCGUGUCGUGAGAUGUUGGGUUAAGUCCCGCAACGAGCGCAACCCUUGUCUUUAGUUACCAAUAUUAAGUUAGGGACUCUAGAGAGACUGCCGUAGAUAAUACGGAGGAAGGUGGGGAUGACGUCAAAUCCUCAUGCCUCUUACGCGUUGGGCUACAAACGUGCUACAAUGGUCGGUACAAAGAGACGCGAGCCCGUAAGGGGGAGCAAACCUGAAAAGCCGAUCUCAGUUCAGAUUGUGGGCUGCAACCCGCCCACAUGAAGAUGGAGUUGCUAGUAAUCCCGAAUCAGCAUGUCGGGGUGAAUGCGUUCCCGGGUCUUGUACACACCGCCCGUCACGCCAUGGGAGUUGAGGGGACCCGAAGUCGGUGAGCUAACCAGCAAUGGAGGCAGCCGCCUAAGGUCAAAUCGAUGACUGGGGUGAAGUCGUAACAAGGUAGCGGUAUCGGAAGGUGCAGCUGGAUCACCUCCUUU